UGAUUGGAUAUGGUAUUGUGCGGUCACGAGUAUCAGCUUGUACAGAACUGCGGAAUGCUUUAUUUUCGAAAGUUACCUGGAGAGCCAUCCGUUCAGUCUCCAGGAUGGUGUUUUCUCACUUGCAUGAGCUUGAUCUUCGUUAUCAUCUAUGGUAUCUGUGAAUGCUCUGGUUCAUGCCAUCAUGU